AUUGAACGCUGGCGGCAUGCUUUACACAUGCAAGUCGAACGGUAACAGGCCGCAAGGUGCUGACGAGUGGCGCACGGGUGAGUAAUGCAUCGGAACGUGCCCAGUCGUGGGGGAUAACUACUCGAAAGAGUAGCUAAUACCGCAUACGAUCUAUGGAUGAAAGCGGGGGACCGUAAGGCCUCGCGCGAUUGGAGCGGCCGAUGUCAGAUUAGGUAGUUGGUGGGGUAAAGGCUCACCAAGCCAACGAUCUGUAGCUGGUCUGAGAGGACGACCAGCCACACUGGGACUGAGACACGGCCCAGACUCCUACGGGAGGCAGCAGUGGGGAAUUUUGGACAAAGGGCGCAAGCCUGGUCCAGCAAUGCCGCGUGCAGGAAGAAGGCCUUCGGGUUGUAAACUGCUUUUGUACGGAACGAAACGGCUCUGGUUAAUACCCGGGGCUAAUGACGGUACCGUAAGAAUAAGCACCGGCUAACUACGUG
rnacentral:rRNA from 1 species